AUGCAUGUGUAGUGUUGAUGGGGCAGUGUUAAACUGUUGUAUAAUUAACUUGUGCUCCUGAAACCAUUCUUCAAUGUAUGAUAGUCUUUUUUUAUUUAUUACAACUUGCUGGUGUAGAAGUGUCAUGUAUAUAUAUAAAAUGUAUUGAAAGAUGUUUUACUUUAGCUAUACAUCUAUUAUACAUUAUAGAUACAUUACUGGUAAAAUGUAUCCAUCAUUUUUAAUAGACAACCCCUGCAACACACAUAGCUUCCACAGCCCAACUAUUACCGACUAGAGGUGGCGUAUUACGUGAUUCGUAACUUUGAAACCUUACUCCGACUGCAGAGCAUGCUGGGAGGUCAUAAAAAGGACAGGAUGUGUCGCUGUGAUUAAUGGCGCCUGCAGAAGUCAACAAGGCCCCUCUAAUCUGAUAUCUAAUAGCUCCCCGAUCUAUAACGUAAUUUGAAAAAUAAUUGAGAACAUACUGCACACCUCCAGAAGAUAGACCUAAGCCAGAAUGCUACAGUGAUAACCAAACAGUAACUGGCCGGCGCCAUGACUGUCUGCUACCUGGAACGUCAGGACACACUGCCAUGGCGACGGCUAGGCACUGGCCAGGCAUCUGCAAGUUGGCCGUGGAUGGCGAGAAGGAACGCGACCAACUGACCAGGAUCGCCAAGUAUCGGUCUCAUAGCAAACUGAAAGCACCAAGACACUGGCAAUGACGAUAGCAACACCCUACUGCAGCAUCAUGGAAACCGCAUCUCAGAAGGAGAUCUCACUGAUUCAACUUACAAUUUCCAGGCUUCUAAGGAACCAGGAUCAUGCAUUUGUAUGAGAUGGAGAAAACAGACAAACCAGGUUACCUGCAAUACCGGGUUUUUGUCCUAGAGGGCUCUUCCACUCCUGUGCAGGCUGUGCGUGUUGGCAGACGGGUUAGGCAAGUUUACAGGCAGCAAGGUAUGGCCCAACCGCAGGUAGGAUUGGCAGAACGCCACUGUUGACACCUUUAUUGGUACGGCCCAACCACCGAUCGCCUGAAGGCCAGAGGGGAUCCGACCCAUGGAGGGCUGGGAUCGAAGGCAGUACAGAAGAAUACCCCGUGUCAAAUUUAUCGCAAAAAAGAAAGAGCAAAAGAUGUGACAUCAAUGCACAUUGCAUCAACUUCAUUCCUCAAUUCCAACAAAAGAAUUGACACCAUUUGGUUGGAGAACAGUUGUUCGAAUUUUCGACAGAUAGAUACAAUGAUGGAGGAAAAGAAAAAAAUUUCAGAUCUUGAUUUACAAAUCUGAAAGUCUUAAGUCAUCUGCAAGUCCAUCUUUUCAUUUCUUUUGUAGAAUGGAUAAUUAAAGAUAUUGUUAGUAAA